GUGCAGCAGUCGAGAAACCUUCGCAAUGCGGGAAACCGCGACGAGGGGACUCCCAGUGCCUACGCUCAGCGUAGGCUGUUCCCGAGCCUAGAAAGCUCGGGGAGUAAGGGCUGGGUAAGACGGGUGCCAGCCGCCGCGGUAAUACCCGCAGCCCGAGUGGUGGCCACUAUUAUUGGGCCUAAAGCGUCCGUAGCCGGCCCGGUAAAUGCCUGGGUAAAUCGUGAGGCCUAACCUCACGAAUUCCGGGUAGACUGCCGGGCUAGGGACCGGAGGAGGGAGAGGGUACUCCAGGGGUAGGGGUGAAAUCCUGUAAUCCCUGGAGGACCACCGGUGGCGAAGGCGCUCUCCUAGGACGGGUCCGACGGUGAGGGACGAAAGCCAGGGGAGCGAACCGGAUUAGAUACCCGUGUAGU
rnacentral:rRNA from 1 species